UAAUUAUUUAAUAGGAAUUAAUUUACACAUUUUAAUUUGGAUUAACAAUGUUGCUAGUGCCUUUUUUAAAUGACCAACGGUUUUAACGGCAGACUUCCGAUCGUUUUCUGAGGUAACGUAAUCUCUGGUAAUAUAUCCUUUCAAAUUGCACAUGAAUUCAUUAAAUUAACAUUUAUUUACGACCAUUGCAGUGUUUAUUGGGUUUCAUUUCCUUUUCUGUAUUCUUGUUGUUCGACAGCGAGCAGUAACGUUAGGCCUAACGUACAUAACGUAGUGUAAUGGAGUUAGGUUAAGUCCGUAUAAUGUCUCUUAUAAAGUUCUUACUAGCAACAUAAACGAAGAUUAAUAUAGCAUAAUACAAUACCUCGGCUACACAUGCUUAUCAAAUCUCGUUAUCAUUAAUGUAUGGCUGUUCAUAACUGAUAGUUUUCUCUUGACUGUAUAGUUAAUUUGUAUGUACAUUCAUUCAUACAAACCUAUGUAAUAUUUAAGUGAAAAUUUCUUUUUUCUCCCUUAUCCUUUCUCAGACAUUAAACCAUACACCAUAUUCUAGUCCUGAUCGCAGAGUUAAGGUCAUGUCUCAAUCCUGUACUGAUGAAGCAGCUGAGGUCUUCAGGGUUAUCACACACUUCAGACAGGUGUGUGGACACACUGGAGAUAAACUCUGCAGGAUCCUCCAGGACAUCACUGUUUUUGUGUCAGAUGCAGAUAAAGAGUCACUAGGAACAGGUCACUGCAUCUUUUGUAAUGUAGAUGCUGGGAUAAAAAGCAGCCAGGCUACAGCAUCUAAAAUGGAGACUUCUAUUAAAGUGGCUCUGUAACAUAAGAGACUUGGGACAGUGGAAGGAGCAGAAGAUCAGAGAUCAGGCAGAGCUCUACUGAUGCCCCUUAGAGGAUUGAUUUAUCUAUAAUUAUCUAUAAUAUCUACUUAAUUUUCUAAUGAAGUUAUAAUUGGUCAUUAUUCUGUUUUAGAAAUCUAUUCAAUAUUUUCUAGUGUUCAAUAGUUUGGGGUCAGAAAGUUUUUUCUUUCUUUAAGAUAUUACUUGUUUUCAGCAAGGGUGCAUUAAACUGAUAAAAAGCAACCGUAAAAACGUUUACAUUGUUGGACAAAAAUCCUAUUAAAAAAAAUAAAAUAAAUGCUGCUCUUUUAAAACCUCUAAAGUAACCUGAAAAAAAAUAUAUAUUACUGUUUCCAGAAAU